GUCCUCCUAGAACACGUGCUGGGUCUGGUCUGUGGCCUGGGAACCUGUCAGGGAAGGGCAGAGCAGUUGUCCAUCACUGUGGGUGAGAUGGCAGCAGGGCAUUGCUGUCUGUCUCAAUCAGUUGUGGGACAGAC
rnacentral:snoRNA from 1 species